UACGUAGGGGGCAAGCGUUGUUCGGAUUCAUUGGGCGUAAAGGGUGCGUAGGUGGCGCCAUAAGUCGGGUGUGAAAUUUCGGAGCUUAACUCCGAAACUGCAUUCGAUACUGUGGUGCUUGAGGACUGGAGAGGAGACUGGAAUUCAUGGUGUAGCAGUGAAAUGCGUAGAGAUCAUGAGGAAGACCAGUGGCGAAGGCGGGUCUCUGGACAGUUCCGUGACGCUGAGGCACGAAGGCCAGGGGAGCAAAACGGG
rnacentral:rRNA from 1 species